rnacentral:rRNA from 1 species
GCGGAGGAAAAGAAAAUAACAAUGAUUUCCCUAGUAACGGCGAGUGAAGAGGAAAGAGCUCAAAGUUGGAACCUGUUUGGCUUAGCUAAACCGGAUUGUAAACUGUAGAAACGUUUUCCUGGCACGCCAGAUAAAUAAGUCCUUUGGAACAGGGCAUCAUAGAGGGUGAGAAUCCCGUCUUUGGUCUGAGCUGUUGUCUUUUAUGAUACGUUUUCAAAGAGUCAGGUUGUUUGGGAAUGCAGCCUAAAUUGGGUGGUAAAUCUCACCUAAAGCUAAAUAUUUGCGAGAGACCGAUAGCGAACAAGUACCGUGAGGGAAAGAUGAAAAGAACUUUGAAAAGAGAGUUAAACAGUAUGUGAAAUUGUUAAAAGGGAACCGUUUGGAGCCAGACUGGCUUGAUCGUAAUCAAUCUAGGUUUCGACCUGGGUGCACUUGCGGUCUAUGCCUGCCAACGACAGUUCUUUCUGAAGGAUAAAACUAGGAGGAAUGUGGCCCCUCGGGGUGUUAUAGCCUCUUAGAUAAUACUUUGGAUGGGACUGAGGAACGCAGUGAAUGCUUAUGGCGAAAUUGCUAGGCGCUUUUGUUGAUAGAUGUUAGAAUUUCUACUUCGGGUAGUGCUAAUGUCUAAAGGUAAAACUCGUUUGGUUAAUUUUCUAUUCACUUAGGUUGUUGGCUUAAUGACUCUAAAUGAC